GACAAGGAAACUAGGAGUAGGAGAAGCUACACAUUUUGCCCAAAGCCUCCCAUUAUAUAAGCUUCAGAGUCAGAAUUGGAACCCAGGCCUGUUGGCCCAAAUCCCACGUUCCUUCGACUGUACUGCACUGAGGCUGGGGUGGGCACUUCUCUAGCCUCUUCCUCUUUCUUUCUGGAGGGAAUGCGGUAGGGAGCUGUAGAUCAGCUAAUCUCAUCCCUUUGGGGUUCUGGUGAGUAUAAGCUCCAGGGAGUUUGGGAGGGCUUGGCAGUAGUGGAUUCCUCUUCCCACACCCACCCUGCCUCCUGGGAAACCGGAGCUCAGCCCCUAGGACCUGGGGUGUCACAUUCUUCCCCAUGCUCCUCCUUAGGAACCUUAUCCAGCUUUCAUCCUCAGACCCUAGUGUCCCACCCUAGGCUCUGUCUGCCCUGGUGCCCUGUGCUCCCCUGCCCUUUCCACUCUGAUUCAGAGUGACUCAGAGUACUGGUCUGGGAGUCCAAUAGAUGAUUCUAAUCCUUGCUCUACCACUUAGCUGGCUAAGAGAUCUUAGCUCCUAAAUAUGUUGGUGUUCUCACCUAUAAAAUGGGUAUAAAUGCACCUGCCUCAUAAAGGAGCUUAUUAAAUUACGUAACAAAUGCAAAACAUUUAGCAGAGUUCCUGGCUCCUAAUGGGUUCUUAGUAGAUGGCACCUCUUGUGGUGAGGAUUACUGCCUAGCCUACUUUGUUGUUGUUGUUGAUUUUGAGACAGAGUCUCGCUGUUGUCGCCCAGGCUGGAGUGCAAUGGUGUGAUCUCACCUCACUGCAACCUCCACCUCCCAGGUUCAAGCGAUUCUCCUGCCUCAGCCUCUCAAGUAGCUGGGAUUACAGGUGCCCCCCCCCAACCCCACACCUGGCUAAUUUUUGUAUUUUUGGAAGGGGUGGGAUUUCACUCUGUUGGCCAGGCUGGUCUCAAACUCCUAACCUCAGGUGAUCCAGCCUCCUCAGCCUCCCAAAGUGCUAAGAUUACAGGCGUGAGCCACAGCGCCCAGCCAGCCUACUUUGGUCUUUUCUUGGACUGACCCCAGAUUUAGGACAUCUCCCUUCUUUAACUCUUCCUUUCCCAUGAUUUGUUCCUAAAGAUGGUGGUUUAAGGCCGCCUUCUUCAGGAAGCCCUCCUGGGAUUAACCCAGCCCAUUUUUCCCAUCUCUCAUCCUUCCCCCUUGCUUACUAUCUUUUCAUUUCCUUUUAGCACAUGAUUGUUGAGCCAGAUAUAUUCACAAAUAACAAUAAUAAAGGCAGAUGGUGAUACAGAAGAAUGUGAGCACAGAGGAAGGAGCAAAGAAAUCGGCAAUCAAGGAAGGCUUUGGAGAAGAGAUAGCAUUUGGUCUAGUCUUAGAUGAUAAGUAAGCUCUU
rnacentral:antisense_RNA from 1 species